GACGAACGCUGGCGGCGUGCUUAACACAUGCAAGUCGAGCGAUGAAGCUUCCUUCGGGAAGUGGAUUAGCGGCGGACGGGUGAGUAACACGUGGGUAACCUGCCUCAAAGUGGGGGAUAGCCUUCCGAAAGGAAGAUUAAUACCGCAUAAUAUGAGAGAAUCGCAUGAUUUUCUUAUCAAAGAUUUAUUGCUUUGAGAUGGACCCGCGGCGCAUUAGCUAGUUGGUAAGGUAAUGGCUUACCAAGGCAACGAUGCGUAGCCGACCUGAGAGGGUGAUCGGCCACAUUGGAACUGAGACACGGUCCAGACUCCUACGGGAGGCAGCAGUGGGGAAUAUUGCGCAAUGGGGGAAACCCUGACGCAGCAACGCCGCGUGGGUGAUGAAGGUCUUCGGAUUGUAAAGCCCUGUUUUCUGGGACGAUAAUGACGGUACCAGAGGAGGAAGCCACGGCUAACUACGUGCCAGCAGCGCGGUCACGACAUG
rnacentral:rRNA from 1 species